rnacentral:rRNA from 1 species
UAGGGAAUCUUCCACAAUGGACGAAAGUCUGAUGGAGCAACGCCGCGUGAGUGAAGAAGGGUUUCGGCUCGUAAAGCUCUGUUGGUAGUGAAGAAAGAUAGAGGUAGUAACUGGCC